rnacentral:rRNA from 1 species
UACGUAGGGUGCAAGCGUUGUCCGGAAUUAUUGGGCGUAAAGAGCUCGUAGGCGGUCUGUCGCGUCGGCUGUGAAAACUCGGGGCUCAACCCUGAGCCUGCAGUCGAUACGGGCAGACUAGAGUGCUGUAGGGGAGACUGGAAUUCCUGGUGUAGCGGUGAAAUGCGCAGAUAUCAGGAGGAACACCGGUGGCGAAGGCGGGUCUCUGGGCAUCUCCUGACGCUGAGGCGCGAAAGCGUGGGGAGCAAACGGG